rnacentral:rRNA from 1 species
CCUUCAUGAAGCCGGAAUUGCUAGUAAUGGCAGGUCAGCAUACUGCCGUGAAUACGUUCCCGGGCCUUGUACACACCGCCCGUCAAGCCAUGGGAGCCGGGGGCGCCUGAAGUGCGGUACCGCGAGGGCCGCCCAAGGGCGAGACCGGUGACUGGGGCUAAGUCGUAACAAGGUAAC